rnacentral:rRNA from 1 species
CCUACGGGAGGCUGCAGUGAGGAAUAUUGGUCAAUGGACGAAAGUCUGAACCAGCCAAGUCGCGUGAAGGAUGACUGUCCUAUGAGUUGUAAACUUCUUUUAUAUGGGAAUAAAAUGAUCCACGUGUGGCAUAUUGUAUGUACUAUAUGAAUAAGGAUCGGCUAACUCCGUGCCAGCAGCCGCGGUAAUACGGAGGCUCCGAGCGUUAUCCGGAUUUAUUGGGUUUAAAGGGUGCGUAGGUGGAUGGUUAAGUCAGUUGUGAAAGUUUGCGGCUCAACCGUAGAAGUGCAGUUGAAACUGGCAGUCUUGAGUACAGGAGAGGUAGGCGGAAUGCGGGGUGUAGCGGUGAAAUGCUUAGAUAUCACGAAGAACUCCGAUUGCGAAGGCAGCUCACUGGACUGCAACUGACGCUGAGGCUCGAAAGUGUGGGUAUCAAACAGGAUUAGAUACCCGAGUAGUC